UACGGGGGGGAGCAAGCGUUUGUUCGGAUUUACUGGGCGUAAAGGGCGCGUAGGCGGCCUCUGCAAGUCGACUGUGAAAUCUCCGGGCUUAACCGGGGAGGGUCGUUGGGGACGGCGGGGCUUGAGGGCGGGAGAGGUCGGUGGAAUUCCCGGUGUAGUGGUGAAAUGCGUAGAGAUCGGGAGGAACACCUGUGGCGAAGGCGGCCGACUGGGCCGACCCUGACGCUGAGGCGCGGAAGGCGUGGGGAGCGAACGGG
rnacentral:rRNA from 1 species